rnacentral:rRNA from 1 species
UACGUAGGGUGCGAGCGUUAAUCGGAAUUACUGGGCGUAAAGUGUGCGCAGGCGGCCGAGCAAGUCGAGUGUGAAAGCCCCGAGCUUAACUUGGGAAUUGCGCUCGAAACUACUUGGCUGGAGUGUGGCAGAGGAAGGUGGAAUUCCAGGUGUAGCGGUGAAAUGCGUAGAGAUCUGGAGGAACACCGAUGGCGAAGGCAGGUCUCUGGGCCAUAACUGACGCUGAGAAGCGAAAGCAUGGGGAGCGAACAGG